rnacentral:tRNA from 2 species
UCCAUUGCUGUCCAACAGUUAGGAAAUCUGGCUUUCACCCAAGAGACCCGGGUUCGUUUCCUGGCAAUGGAA